GAGCCUUCUUCCCAGCAGAACCCCCGGCCCUGGAGUGGCCCCAGAUGAGGGAGCUCCCAUCUGUGUGGGUAGCCCUGAGGCUAUCCUGAGGGCAGGAUGCUGUGCAGGGGAGGAACGGACCUUCAUUAUGUGAUUCUGGGUGGAAGGUAAACAAACCCUGGUUAGGCAGAGGUGGCACAAGCCCACAGCCUUGGGCUCAGCCUUCUGUCUCCCGAGCUCACUGCUCAGUGCCCAGUCCCAGGAAGCCCACAGGCUCUAGGCCUAGCCUGCCUCAAUUUCCAUUUGUUCCACCCCCUCAUGCACCUCAGGGCCCAGGGUGGCACCAGUGCCCACCACAGAACCAGGCUCAGAGCACAUGUGGCACAAAUGCUCAUGGGAUGAAUGACUGACUAAAAGAAUCAUCCAGGCUGGGUAGGCAUGGUGGCUCACGCCUGUAAUCCCAGCACUUUGGGAGGCCAAGGCAGGAGGACCACUUGAGUCCAGGAGUUCAAGACCAGCCUGGGCAACAUAGCAAGACCAUAUCUCUACAAAAAAAUUAAAAAUCAGUCAGGUGUGGUGGUGCAUGCUUGUAGUCCAGAUACCUGGGAAGCUGAGCCCAAGAGGUCAAGUCUGCAGGGAGCCAUGAUUGCACCACCGCACUCCAGCUUGGGUGACAGAGCAAGACCCUGUCUAUAAAAAAGAAUCAUCCAAAGGAAGAGGGCGCUCCUGAGGCAGGUGUGGGCAUGGGCACCGUAGCCCAUAGCCACAGCUCCUCCACUCCUGGCUUGGGCCUCUAAGCCUCACUUCCUCUCCCGUAGAACACUCAUGAGACACACCUGCCUCGUGUGGGCCUGGGAAGCUUGCUAUUACUAAUAAAACAGCAGCAACACAGGACAGCUUCACUUCCUGAAACUCCCUCUGUCACGUGCUUUGCAUGAAUCCUCACACCGUCUCACCAGGGGCGCUCUCCCAGUUUCACCAGUGACUUGGUGACAGCCAGCGUUGCUCAGGAAGCGGCAGCCGUGUCCUUUCUGUGUGCAGUGGGGUGUGGGUUGUGUGGAGGCGCGGUGUCUGUGGAGUUCACAGGCUGGGGUCGGAAUCCAUGGCCCCCAUCGCCGCUGCCACCCUCCAGGAUACAAGUGGAGGACAGAAAUGAGGCAGAAGUGAUAAGUUGAAGAGCACGGCCAAGAAUUUUCCAAAACAGUGGAGAAACCUGGCAGACAUCAUCUUAGCCAAGUGGUAAACAUUAACAUCAGCAGUAAUGGGACAAGUUGACAUUGUGUGACUCCUAAUAUGGUACACUGAGAAGAACAUCGCAUCGUUUCUGUGGUAUUCCUACCAAAGAUGCAUAAAUCAUGAGGAAGCAGCAGACAAAUCCAAACUGAAGACAACCUACAAAGUCAUUGACCUGUAUUUUUCAAAAAUCAUGGCCAGAGAAGGGAAGCCUGAAGAAUUGUUCUAGGAUAAAUUAGACUGAAGAGACUCCUUGGAAGCGACUGAAUUGGAUCCUGGGCCUGUAAAGAUGGAAUCUCACUCUGUUGCCCAGGCUGGAGUGCAAUGGCAUGAUCUUGGCUCACCGCAAUCUUCGCCUCC